rnacentral:rRNA from 1 species
UACGUAGGGACCAAGCGUUGUUCGGAUUUACUGGGCGUAAAGGGAGCGUAGGCGGCAAUUCAAGUCAGUUGUGAAAUCUUCGAGCUUAACUCGGAACGGUCAGCUGAUACUGCUUUGCUAGAGUACAGAAGGGGCAAUCGGAAUUCUUGGUGUAGCGGUGAAAUGCGUAGAUAUCAAGAGGAACACCUGAGGUGAAGACGGGUUGCUGGGCUGAUACUGACGCUGAGGCUCGAAAGCCAGGGGAGCAAACGGG